AAUAAUGGUCUAAGAGCACAAUUGAUUUGUGCCCUUUUCAAUUUCGUUGAGCACAUAUGUGUAUUUGUGCUUUUAAAUGUCAUAGAACACAAAAACUAUCUCAAAUGUGUCUCCUAAAUAAAAGGGCACCUUAAUUGGUGUCUUCAAGAAAGUGUGUUUGUGCCUAUUAAAAUUUGAGCACACAAAAUUGUGUCACUGUGUAUGGAUAUCAAUAAUCAUAAUUUUUUAUUAAUUUACAAACACACAUAAAAAUAUUUUGCUGCAUUUUGGUUUAAUAUAUUUAAAUCAUUUGGUCUUAAAAACACAAUGUUCGUGUCUUCCUACCACACCCACACCCCACUCAGCCUUUUCAUACUCUCUAUCAUCUUUCUCCCUUACUUUCUUCUUCCACUCGUCCUCCCUCAUAUUCUUUCUCACCUCUGUCUCUCUCUCCAACUCCCUUUCUCUCAUUUCCUUCCCCAAAUCAAAUCAUGGCGGCUCUUGAGCUCCAUCAUCGCCAGAAACCUUUGGCAGGAACCUUCCGCAGGUCAUCCCCACAAGAAAGCUUCUCCUUGAGGGUUCUAAGGAAGCUACAAGAAAGGCUCAAGACCAGGCUGCAGAACGAGUGCAAUGUCUAGAGGAAGAUCUGGCAAAGACCAGUGAUGGGUGGAUCCUCUUGACCCCGUGCAAUGAUGGUGGGUCUCUUGGCUCUGCGGUUUAGGUGAGUCUCUUGGCUCCACGUGGUUGUUAAUGUGUGGAUCUCUCACGUUUGACCCACUAAUUGGAUCCUAGUGAGGGGGCGUGUUGAAAUAUACCACAUUGGCAGGAUGAGGGAGAAAAGAAGAGUUUAAAUAUCUUAAUCCUACUCCCAACUAAUACCAAGGCAGUUUGUGGUAAAAGUUGACACUUGUCGAACUAUGCUGGUGAUAAUUAACAAGUUGGGAACAAUAUCGGUAUUGUUGGAAGCUCGUCUCUCUGAUAACUUAACUUGUCAAUUCUUUGGAUAGUAUGCUCUUGGUUAUAUAUACCGUUGAGAGUGUGAAUAUAAUGUUGGAAAAAUAAGAAACUUUGCAUAUUCUUAUAAAGAGUUGGAUGACACACUUUCUGUAUUGUCAAGUGAUUUAUAAAAUCUAUUUGUCUAAUGGUAUAUUGUUAUA